rnacentral:rRNA from 1 species
GUGGAUUAGAUACCCUGGUAGUCCACGCCGUAAACGAUGUCAACUAGCCGUUGGGAGCCUUGAGCUCUUAGUGGCGCAGCUAACGCAUUAAGUUGACCGCCUGGGGAGUACGGCCGCAAGGUUAAAACUCAAAUGAAUUGACGGGGGCCCGCACAAGCGGUGGAGCAUGUGGUUUAAUUCGAAGCAACGCGAAGAACCUUACCAGGCCUUGACAUCCAAUGAACUUUCCAGAGAUGGAUUGGUGCCUUCGGGAACAUUGAGACAGGUGCUGCACGGUCGUCGCCAACU